GAGAGGUCCUUGGUGGGAGGUGAACGAAAUCCUAAGUGUCCUAAGUGUGGAGGCUGACUUGGUCUAGCAAGGAGGAGAGGAGUUGCUCUCUUUGAAGAAGAGAUUAAGGUGUUUUAGUCUUCAUGAGGGUAGAACAUGGCACGUCGAUCUAACAAUGUUGGUCAAACACCCCUAAUUGAUGAUUUUAAUCGGGCUGUUGAUCAGAUGAUCAACGCAAUGGAGAGGCAACAUACCACUCAGGAACCGAG
rnacentral:sRNA from 1 species